rnacentral:rRNA from 1 species
AUUGAACGCUGGCGGCAGGCCUAACACAUGCAAGUCGAACGAGUGGCGGACGGGUGAGUAAUGUCUGGGAAACUGCCCGAUGGAGGGGGCUAACUACUGGAAACGGUAGCUAAUACCGCAUACCAUCGGAUGUGCCCAGAUGGGAUUAGCUAGUAGGUGGGGUAACGGCUCACCUAGGCGACGCUCCCUAGCUGGUCUGAGAGGAUGACCAGCCACACGGGAACUGAGACACGGUCCAGACUCCUACGGUAGGCAGCAGUGGGGAAUAUUGCACAAUGGGGGAAAGCCUGAUGCAGCCAUGCCGCGGGUAUGAAGAAGGCCUUCGGGUUGUAAAGUACUUUCGGCGAGGAGGCGUUACUCGCAGAAGAAGCACCGGCUAACUCCGUGCCAGCAGCCGCGGUAAUUC